rnacentral:rRNA from 1 species
CGGGUUGCGGACAGUGUCUGGUGGGUAGUUUGACUGGGGCGGUCUCCUCCUAAAGAGUAACGGAGGAGCACGAAGGUUGGCUAAUCCUGGUCGGACAUCAGGAGGUUAGUGCAAUGGCAUAAGCCAGCUUGACUGCGAGCGGGACGGCGCGCGCAGGUGCGAAAGCAGGUCAUAGGGAUCCGGUGGUUCUGAAUGGAAGGGCCAUCGCUCAACGGAUAAAAGGUACUCCGGGGAUAACAGGCUGCUACCGCCCAAGAGUUCAUAUCGACGGCGGUGUUUGGCACCUCGAUGUCGGCUCAUCACAUCCUGGGGCUGAAGUAGGUCCCAAGGGUAUGGCUGUUCGCCAUUUAAAGUGGUACGCGAGCUGGGUUUAGAACGUCGUGAGACAGUUCGGUCCCUAUCUGCCGUGGGCGCUGGAGUACUGAGGGGGGCUGCUCCUAGUACGAGAGGACCGGAGUGGACGCAUCACUGGUGUUCGGGUUGUCAUGCCAAUGGCACUGCCCGGUAGCUAAAUGCGGAAGAGAUAAGUGCUGAAAGCAUCUAAGCACGAAACUUGCCCCGAGAUGAGUUCUCCCUGACUCCUUGAGAGUCCUGAAGGAACGUUGAAGACGACGACGUUGAUAGGCCGGGUGUGUAAGCGCAGCGAUGCGUUGAGCUAACCGGUACUAAUGAACCGUGAGGCUUAACCUU